UACGGAGGGUGCGAGCGUUAUCCGGAAUUACUGGGUUUAAAGGGUGCGUAGGCGGCGCUGUAAGUCAGGAGUGAAAGUUUGCGGCUCAACCGUAAAAUUGCUUUUGAUACUGCGGUGCUAGAAUUAGGAUGAGGUCAGCGGAAUGUGGCAUGUAGCGGUGAAAUGCAUAGAUAUGCCAUAGAACACCAAUUGCGAAGGCAGCUGGCUACACGAAUAUUGACACUGAUGCACGAAAGCGUGGGGAGCAAACAGG
rnacentral:rRNA from 1 species